GUCUCCCUCCAGCCACGCUGGACAUCUUGCAGUUCCCCAGUCACACCACGUUUGUUAUUGCUUCAAGGCCUUUGCACUUGCUGUUCCCUCUGCCUGGAGAGAACAUCAUGUAGAUUUCACCUGACUUCUUCGCUUUUUUCAGAUCCUUCUUUUGGUCCAAUUUUCCCAACCAGAAAAGCUCUAGCUGCCAGUGCUCGUGGAGUUGACCAGGGGAACGAGGCUGAAGGUCCAAUAAUUUGAGGUCCCUCCAGUCGUGGGACGUGGGACGCCGCCCCAACGUGGCCCGACGAGCAGUGCCAUGUCCGCACCCAGGAGCCGAACCCUGGGCCGCCACAGCGGAGCGCGCUAACCCAACCACUUGGCCACGGAGCCGGCCCCUCUGGGGCUUCUUGAAGACCUGGUGCAGGGGCUCUCCGCAGCGCGUUGGAGUCGCACUCUCCUAAGUCCUCUCUAGAAACCCUUCUGCUCCUUGAAUCUUCUCACUGAUGGCAGUUAUUAAAAAUGUCUCCCUCCCUUACCC
rnacentral:lncRNA from 1 species